AAAAAAGUGUUAAACAAAUCAAAAUAUAUUUUAUAUUUGAGACUCUUUGCCCUGAUGACAUCUCUGCUCUCUCCAUAUAAGAACAAGAGUGGCCCAACAGCAGUAGGCAUCAAUUAUAAUAGUAGUGGUGAAAUGGGAUCAGGGCUGAGUAAGGUAGUAGUGAAAUGGGAUCAGGGCUGAGUAAGGUAUCAAUGAUAAUAGUAGUGGUGAAAUGGGAUCAGGGCUGAGUAAGGUAUCAAUGAUAAUAGUAGUGGUGAAAUGGGAUCAGGUCUGAGUAAGGCAUCAAUGAUAAUAGUAGUAGUGAAAUGGGAUCAGGGCUGAGUAAGGCAUCAAUGAUAAUAGUAGUGGUGAAAUGGGAUCAGGGCUGAGUAAGGCAUCAAUGAUAAUAGUAGUGGUGAAAUGGAAUCAGGGCUGAGUAAGGUAGUAGUGAAAUGGGAUUAGGUCUGAGUAAGGUAGUAGUGAAAUGGGAUUAGGUCUGAGGAAGGUAGUAGUGAAAUGGGAUCAGGGCUGAGUAAGGCAUCAAUGAUAAUAGUAGUGAUGAAAUGGGAUCAGGUCUGAGUAAGGUAGUAGUGAAAUGGGAUUAGGUCUGAGUAAGGUAGUAGUGAAAUGGGAUUAGGUCUGAGUAAGGUAGUAGUGAAAUGGGAUUAGGUCUGAGGAAGGUAGUAGUGAAAUGGGAUUAGGUCUGAGGAAGGUAGUAGUGAAAUGGGAUUAGGUCUGAGGAAGGUAGUAGUGAAAUGGGAUUAGGUCUGAGUAAAGUAGUGGUGAAAUGGGAUCAGGUCUGAGUAAGGUAGUAGUGAAAUGGGAUUAGGUCUGAGUAAGGUAGUAGUGAAAUGGGAUCAGGGCUGAGUAAGGCAUCAAUGAUAAUAGUAGUGAUGAAAUGGGAUCAGGUCUGAGUAAGGUAGUAGUGAAAUGGGAUUAGGUCUGAGGAAGGUAGUAGUGAAAUGGGAUCAGGGCUGAGUAAGGCAUCAAUGAUAAUAGUAGUGAUGAAAUGGGAUCAGGUCUGAGUAAGGUAGUAGUGAAAUGGGAUUAGGUCUGAGUAAGGUAGUAGUGAAAUGGGAUUAGGUCUGAGUAAGGUAGUAGUGAAAUGGGAUUAGGUCUGAGGAAGGUAGUAGUGAAAUGGGAUUAGGUCUGAGGAAGGUAGUAGUGAAAUGGGAUUAGGUCUGAGGAAGGUAGUAGUGAAAUGGGAUUAGGUCUGAGGAAGGUAGUAGUGAAAUGGGAUUAGGUCUGAGUAAAGUAGUGGUGAAAUGGGAUCAGGUCUGAGUAAGGUAGUAGUGAAAUGGGAUUAGGUCUGAGUAAGGUAGUAGUGAAAUGGGAUCAGGGCUGAGUAAGGCAUCAAUGAUAAUAGUAGUGAUGAAAUGGGAUCAGGUCUGAGUAAGGUAGUAGUGAAAUGGGAUUAGGUCUGAGGAAGGUAGUAGUGAAAUGGGAUCAGGGCUGAGUAAGGCAUCAAUGAUAAUAGUAGUGAUGAAAUGGGAUCAGGUCUGAGUAAGGUAGUAGUGAAAUGGGAUUAGGUCUGAGUAAGGUAGUAGUGAAAUGGGAUUAGGUCUGAGUAAGGUAGUAGUGAAAUGGGAUUAGGUCUGAGGAAGGUAGUAGUGAAAUGGGAUUAGGUCUGAGGAAGGUAGUAGUGAAAUGGGAUUAGGUCUGAGGAAGGUAGUAGUGAAAUGGGAUUAGGUCUGAGUAAAGUAGUGGUGAAAUGGGAUCAGGUCUGAGUAAGGUAGUAGUGAAAUGGGAUUAGGUCUGAGUAAGGUAGUAGUGAAAUGGGAUCAGGUCUGAGUAAGGCAUCAAUGAUAAUAGUGGUUAAAUGGGAUCAGGUCUGAGUAAGGUAGUAGUGAAAUGGGAUUAGGUCUGAGGAAGGUAGUAGUGAAAUGGGAUCAGGGCUGAGUAAGGCAUCAAUGAUAAUAGUAGUGAUGAAAUGGGAUCAGGUCUGAGUAAGGUAGUAGUGAAAUGGGAUUAGGUCUGAGUAAGGCAUCAAUGAUAAUAGUAGUGGUGAAAUGGGAUCAGGUCUGAGUAAGGGAUCAAUGAUAAUAGUAGUGAUGAAAUGGGAUCAGGGCUGAGUAAGGUAGUAGUGAAAUGGGAUUAGGUCUGAGGAAGGUAGUAGUGAAAUGGGAUCAGGGCUGAGUAAGGCAUCAAUGAUAAUAGUAGUGAUGAAAUGGGAUCAGGUCUGAGUAAGGUAGUAGUGAAAUGGGAUUAGGUCUGAGUAAGGUAGUAGUGAAAUGGGAUUAGGUCUGAGGAAGGUAGUAGUGAAAUGGGAUCAGGGCUGAGUAAGGCAUCAAUGAUAAUAGUAGUGAUGAAAUGGGAUCAGGUCUGAGUAAAGUAGUAGUGAAAUGGGAUUAGGUCUGAGGAAGGUAGUA